rnacentral:lncRNA from 1 species
CUGCGCGGGUGACGAGCUGUGGCGCUGGCGAGGGCGUCUGGCCCUGGGCCCCUUGGCUCUUCUUGGGGGGGCGUUUAGCUUGGGGAGGGGCCUCGUCCGUCAGAAGUCGCCCCGGCUCCCACGUUGGGGACCGCCCUGCGCCCGCUGCCCGGCAUGCCCGUCUCCACUGCCAGCCUCUGAGCUUUGCAGACGAGGAAACAGGCACAGAGACGCCCGGGUCCAAAUAGGAGCGGAGAGAGCGCCAAGGGGCCCUUCCCGUCCCCAGGCCUUCCCCCACCCCCCCUCAGCGGGGCUCUCCUGGCCAGCGUUCCCCUGGAUGCCUUGGGCCUGGGAGCCAGUCUACUCUCCCGGGACGCAGUUCUUCUGUCUGGUGGAGGGCCUCACCAAACAAGGGCUGGCUGUGCCCACCUCACGUCUCUUCUUGGAAGCUCAGUCCCACCUCAGGGCCUUUGCACCUGCCGUUCCCUCUGCCCGGAAUUCUCUGUCUCCAGACAUCUGCACGGCUCCCCCUUCAGGGUCUCUCACAGGCUGCCGGCGGGUGUCAGCUGGGGCUGCGGUCUCACUGGAAGCCUCAAUCAGGGAAGGAAACCCCUCCUGCAGGCCUCGGCUUCAACACGAGCUCUUUGAAGAUGCAUUCCUGGCCCAGCACAACACUGAGGCCUGUACGGUCGAGUCAGCUCAGCAGCCCAGGGGGCCCUGAUCCUGCACGUUCCCAAGAAAGGCCCAUCUGCAAGCCCGGCCCUACUCCUAGGAUGUCACCUGCUUGCCCCUGGGGCGUCCUGCCUGUGAGAAUCUGCACCCUGGACCUCAGCCGGGAUGGACGCCCUUGGCUCCUGUGAGAUUCCGCUGGGCCUGGGCCCCCGUUCAGAAUCAGCGGGACCUCUGCAGGGGCUGCAGCCCGGGACAGCCACACGCUGGUCAGCCACGCCUACGCGCCCACCUCCCCGUAAAACGCUGGGCCCCAGGGCUCAGGCGGGUGUCCCUGCUUGGCGACAGUCCACGUGGAGAAUUCACGGCUGUCCGCUGACUCCAAGGGCGGACACUGGAAGCUGGCGCCUGGCCUUGCCGGGUCCCGCUCCUCGAGCUUUUGCUCUUUGCUGACUUUAAUCUGUAUCCUUCCCCUGUGAUAAACCGUAAUCACGAGUAGAACAGCUUUUCUGCGGUCUGUGAGUCCUAGUGAAUCAUGCACCCCAAGGGGGGUCUUGGGGACCGCCACCCAAGCCCCCCACCCC